AUGAACGCUGGCGGCGUGCCUCAUACAUGCAAGUCGAGCGAACGGACGAGAAGCUUGCUUCUCUGAUGUUAGCGGCGGACGGGUGAGUAACACGUGGAUAACCUACCUAUAAGACUGGGAUAACUUCGGGAAACCGGAGCUAAUACCGGAUGAUAUUUUGAACCGCAUGGUUCAAAAGUGAAAGACGGUCUUGCUGUCACUUAUAGAUGUAUCCGCGCUGCAUUAGCUAGUUGGUAAGGUAACGGCUUACCAAGGCAACGAUGCAUAGCCGACCUGAGAGGGUGAUCGGCCACACUGGAACUGAGACACGGUCCAGACUCCUACGGGAGGCAGCAGUAGGGAAUCUUCCGCAAUGGGCGAAAGCCUGACGGAGCAACGCCGCGUGAGUGAUGAAGGUCUUCGGAUCGUAAAACUCUGUUAUUAGGGAAGAACAUAUGUGUAAGUAACUGUGCACAUCUUGACGGUACCUAAUCAGAAAGCCACGGCUAACUACGUG
rnacentral:rRNA from 1 species